GAUGAACGCUAGCUACAGGCUUAACACAUGCAAGUCGAGGGGCAGCAUGACCUAGCAAUAGGUUGAUGGCGACCGGCGCACGGGUGAGUAACACGUAUCCAACCUGCCGAUUAUUCCGGGAUAGCCUUUCGAAAGAAAGAUUAAUACUGGAUAGCAUAACGAGAAGGCAUCUUCUUGUUAUUAAAGAAUUUCGAUAAUCGAUGGGGAUGCGUUCCAUUAGUUUGUUGGCGGGGUAACGGCCCACCAACACAUCGAUGGAUAGGGGUUCUGAGAGGAAGGUCCCCCACAUUGGAACUGAGACACGGUCCAAACUCCUACGGGAGGCAGCAGUGAGGAAUAUUGGUCAAUGGACGAGAGUCUGAACCAGCCAAGUAGCGUGAAGGAUGACUGCCCUAUGGGUUGUAAACUUCUUUUAUAUGGGAAUAAAGUGGGCCACGUGUGGCUUUUUGUAUGUACCAUACGAAUAAGGAUCGGCUAACUCCGUG
rnacentral:rRNA from 1 species